rnacentral:rRNA from 1 species
GAUGAACGCUGGCGGCGUGCCUAAUACAUGCAAGUCGAGCGAACGGACGAGAAGCUUGCUUCUCUGCUGUUAGCGGCGGACGCGUGAGUAACACGUGGAUAACCUACCUAUAAGACUGGGAUAACUUCGGGAACCCUGAGCUAAUAUCGGACAAUAGUUUGAACCGCAUGGUUCAUCAGUGAAAGCCGUUUUUGCUGUCCCUUAUAGAUGGAACCGCGCUGCAUUAGCUAGUUGGUAAGGUAACGGCUUACCAAGGCAACGAUGCGUAGCUGACCUGAGAGGAUGAUCAGCCACACUGGAACUGAGACACGGUCCAGACUCCUACGGGAGGCAGCAGUAGGGAAUAUUGCACAAUGGGCGAAAGCCUGACGCAGCAACGCCGCGUGAGUGAUGAAGGUCUUCGGAUCGUAAAACUCUGUUAUUAGGGAAGAACAGCUGUGUAAGAAACUGUGCACAUCUUGACGGUACCUAAACAGAAAGCCACGGCUAACUACGUG